UGGGGAAUAUUGCACAAUGGAGGGAACUCUGAUGCAGCGACGCCGCGUGAACGAAGAAGGCUUUCGAGUCGUAAAGUUCUUUUAUAUGGGAAGAUAAUGACGGUACCAUAAGAAGAAGCCCCGGCUAACUACGUGCCAGCAGCCGCGGUAAUACGUAGGGGGCUAGCGUUGUCCGGAAUCACUGGGCGUAAAGGGUUCGCAGGCGGAAAUGCAAGUCAGGUGUAAAAGGCAGUAGCUUAACUACUGUAAGCAUUUGAAACUGCAUAUCUUGAGAAGAGUAGAGGUAAGUGGAAUUUUUAGUGUAGCGGUGAAAUGCGUAGAUAUUAAAAAGAAUACCGGUGGCGAAGGCGACUUACUGGGAUCAUUCUGACGCUGAGGAACGAAAGCGUGGGUAGCAAACAGG
rnacentral:rRNA from 1 species